rnacentral:rRNA from 1 species
GUGGGGAAUAUUGGACAAUGGGCGCAAGCCUGAUCCAGCCAUGCCGCGUGAGUGAUGAAGGCCUUAGGGUUGUAAAGCUCUUUCGUCAGGGAAGAUAAUGACGGUACCUGAAGAAGAAGCCCCGGCUAACUUCGUGCCAGCAGCCGCGGUAAUACGAAGGGGGCUAGCGUUGCUCGGAAUCACUGGGCGUAAAGCGCACGUAGGCGGCUUUCUAAGUCAGGGGUGAAAUCCUGGAGCUCAACUCCAGAACUGCCUUUGAUACUGGAGAGCUUGAGUUCGGGAGAGGUGAGUGGAACUGCGAGUGUAGAGGUGAAAUUCGUAGAUAUUCGCAAGAACACCAGUGGCGAAGGCGGCUCACUGGCCCGAUACUGACGCUGAGGUGCGAAAGCGUGGGGAGCAAACAGGAUUAGAAACCCUUGUAGUCC